rnacentral:misc_RNA from 1 species
GAUGAAGAACGUAGCGAAAUGCGAUAAGUAGUGUGAAUUGCAGAAUUUAGUGAAUCAUCGAAUCUUUGAACGCACAUUGCGCCCUUUGGUAUUCCUUAGGGCAUGCCUGUUCGAGCGUCAUUUAAACCUUCAAGCUCAGCUUGGUGUUGGGUGACUGUCCGCUUCACCGCGGACUCGCCUCAAAAUUAUUGGCGGCCGGUACAUUGGCUUCGAGCGCAGCAGAAACGCGAACUCGGGCCCGUCGUAUUGGCUCCCAGAAGCUAUCUUCACAAUUUUGACCUCGGAUCAGGUAGGGAUACCCGCUGAACUUAAGCAUAUCAAUAAGCGGAGGA